AGAGUUUGAUCCUGGCUCAGGAUGAACGCUAGCUACAGGCUUAACACAUGCAAGUCGAGGGGAAACGAUAUUGGAAGCUUGCUUCCGAUAGGCGUCGACCGGCGCACGGGUGAGUAACGCGUAUCCAACCUGCCCACCACUUGGGGAUAACCUUGCGAAAGUAAGACUAAUACCCAAUGAUAUCUCUAGAAGACAUCUGAAAGAGAUUAAAGAUUUAUCGGUGAUGGAUGGGGAUGCGUCUGAUUAGCUUGUUGGCGGGGUAACGGCCACCAAGGCGACGAUCAGUAGGGUUCUGAGAGGAAGUCCCCCANAUUGGAACUGAGACACGGUCCAAACUCCUACGGGAGCA
rnacentral:rRNA from 1 species